CUCAAUUAUUGUCUUUUUCCAGUGACUUCCUUUCCUCCUUCAAAAGCAUGCUCAAAAGGCAGUGUUUUUGAGAGACUGAAGAGGACACAAGAGGUGAAUAACAAUAUUAACAAUGCUUCUGUCAGUCACACUAUGUUAAUUGCACAUGAAUCCAAUUAUAGCAGUAACGGAAAAUCAUUUCGUAAGAACAUAGUACAAUUACCUAUUAAGGAGACAUCACUAGUGACUGCAGAAAAUACCCUCUCACAAAGCUGUGUUUCCUCUUUGGAUGUAGAUGAAGAGAACUUAACAUAUGGCGAACAGAAUGAAACACCAAAUAAGAAACGCCAGACUAAUUAUAAGUGUGAAGAUACUAUGCAGCAUGUUCCAAGUUCCUCUGUAGUUUUUCAUGAUUCUCCUGUGCAAACAAGACGCUUUAGUCCCCUUAAGUCUGGAUUUCAUCAGCGCGUUCUUUUUACUUCCCCAGCUAAAAAUUCUGAUGUUGAAGAUAAGAUAUCAAAAGUGGAAAAGCUAUGUGAGAAAAUAUAUGUUCGAUUAGAAGAAAUUAAUAAGAAGACAGAUAAAAUUAUUAUGAAUCAAGAAAGGCUCAACAAGUCUCUUUUAGUGCGAUUAUUUCAGUUCUUUUAUCACAUCCAAGGAUGUAGCCAAAUCUACUGUCAAAAUUGCUGUAAAAGUUCUUACAAACUCUAUGGCAUCCACAAUGAGUUUUAAAGGGCAGAACACAAAAAAACCCUUUUAUAAAUUGAAGAUAUGGGAGGCCAUACAAGGUUCAAUAUUGAUCAAAUUUGAUGACACAGUACUUUUCAAAGCAGAAGAAACCAUGAAAACAUGGUUGGCCAAUGCUCCACGGCGUAAACAAGAUAAUGAAACUUACGGGAAAAAGUGUAUGAAAAGAAAAUUAGAAGUAAACACUGCAAAGUAGUUGGGCAAAAUGUUUAUGUUUUAUAACUUUUUUUAUUUGUUAUUUCUAAUAUUUUUGACUAAGA